GCUAACAAUAAUGGUUUCCGAUUCAAUUGUCAACGUUGCAAUCCCUGUCGCUUCCUCUAAUUCCAGAGAUUUUGGCAAGAAAAAAAGGGCUAAUCGGACGGCUAAGUUGAAGCAGAGCAAGCGUGAUGCUCGACGUGAACAGUGGCUCUCACAAGGGAAGAAUAAAGUCUCCAAGCAGGAACUUAAUGGUGGGGGCGGGGUUUGUGAGCAGGGGAUGCAGGUUACUAAUGAAAAGGGCCAAUUGAUGAAGAAGUUUGCUAUAAAGCCGAGAGGAGAAGCAGAGGAAAGUGGGGGUUACAUGAACACCUACAGUGAUUUUGAUUCACCUUCUAAUAGCCCCACCAGUCACACUAGUAGUGUGUUGGAAGGAAAUUAUUCUGGGACCAAUUUCACUGGUGGCAGCGGCAGUAGCAGCAGUAGUAGCAGUGGCGGUUUUAGUAGCAGUGGUGGG
rnacentral:misc_RNA from 1 species